rnacentral:rRNA from 1 species
AGUAACACGUGGAUAACCUACCUAUAAGACUGGGAUAACUUCGGGAAACCGGAGCUAAUACCGGAUAAUAUUUUGAACCGCAUGGUUCAAAAGUGAAAGACGGUCUUGCUGUCACUUAUAGAUGGAUCCGCGCUGCAUUAGCUAGUUGGUAAGGUAACGGCUUACCAAGGCAACGAUGCAUAGCCGACCUGAGAGGGUGAUCGGCCACACUGGAACUGAUACACGGUCCAG